rnacentral:misc_RNA from 1 species
AAAGUCAAAUAGCACGUGAAAUUGUUGAAAGGGAAACGAUUGAAGUCAGUCGUACCGAUGGGCAUUCAGCCUCUUGAGCGCGAUUAUGCGGGCGUUGUUGGAGUUUAACCCCUCGCGUUUGCAUAUUUGUGCACUUAGGGUGUACUUGCUCGUAUGGUAGGUUAACAUCAAUUUUGGUCGUCAUAAAAUGACGGGAGGAAAGUAGCUUCGACCUCGCGUUGAAGUGUUACAGACUCUGGUAGAUGUGAUGACCGGGAUUGAGGAUUGCAACGAACCCUUCUGGGCUAUCCGCCUGGCCUCUGGUGGCCGCUCUGGUGCCGAAAGCUUGCUUACGGUCAUCAAAGUUGGACGUCAAAAGGUUAGUACGGGUUAAAUUCGUUAAGGAUGUUGACGUAAUGGCUUUAAACGA